rnacentral:lncRNA from 1 species
CAGUCAGAGCUCAGACAUAAACAAGUCGAUUUUUGUUUUUGACUUACAGAAGUCAAAACAUGUAUUUAUUAUAAAAAUGUGUUUUCAAUUUUAGACUUAUUUAAGUCAGAAAAUGACAGACUUGUUUAGGUCUAUUUAUGUUGAUGAAAAAACUUAAUUUGACUUGGUGGCCAAAGUGCACCUCCUAUGACAGCAAAAACCUAUCUGAGAGUUCACAAGGACUUGAGCUAUCUAUAUUUAAUUACCUAAUUGAACAUCCUUACUAAACACAGAGGUUUUAUCUCAUUAACUGUGGCUCCAGGUGGUUGCAUUGUAAGGUUAAUUUACAUUAUCUCCGAUUUUUUAGACUCUCAUUCAUAUUUUUCUCUAGAAGACAAAGCAUUGUUUUUCAAUGUUGUCAUUAUUUGAUUUAGAUGCGUGACCUUUUUAUAAAUAUGCGUGGGUCUUGAAGUUUACCAAUUUUGGUAACUUAUCGACUUGUAGGAGUCGAUAUUUGCAACUUUUUGAUUCUGGUCAAUUAUUUCUUGCUUAACAAUAUUUGACUUAUUAAAGUCGUAUUUUGUCUUGCAUUAAGGGAGACAAAUCCUAAAACUUACAAAUUUAGACCUCUAUGAGUCAAAAGCAGAUUCAGACCUAUUUAUGUCUGAGCUCUGACUGUUGGAAGGGGGGCGAAAUUUUUUUUUUGGCCCUUUUUUAGGAUAAACAUAAAGUGUAUUUAGCACUUUUUAAAAGUCCUUGCAUGGGGCAUGCAUAUUUUGUAGUUGCUGUUAAGGUGUAAGGUUGGACAUUUUCGAUACUUAUUCUCCCUAUUAAGUUAUCAUAAAAUAUAUCAUGUAUCCAAAGCUAUGUACUGAUACAUUUAAUGUUGAUUUGUCAGUAAAACAUAACCAUGGAAAUUCUCGUGGUGUAUGUUGUAAGUUAAGUUAGAAUAACCUCACAGAUUUCUUGUUGUAAACACGAUAUAAGCUGGGCUAUUCGAUAGAAUUUGAAAUACGGACCGACACGAGUAAAAAACAUACAAGCAAUUUUAUCCAAAUGUUUGGUUGAUAUGUUUCACCACAACAUUAUGGAAGUAAAGGGUUCUAAAAUCAAUCUAAAGCUAAGAAUGAGUCUGAAAUGACAACGAAUUAUGAAUGACGGCCGAAAUAAAAUAAAAGUCACAUUCCAGCAGGCAGGUUGCAGUCUGGUCUUAAAAAGUAUUCAUAUAUAUCAGUUCGGCGAAACAGACAUUCGGUCAGACAUGAAACCCUGCACAAAAAAAAUACGCCUUUUAUUAUCAUGUAUCAUUAUUAAUUAUAUAAUGCUAAAUUCUGUUGGAUUAUUCGUUUCUAAUAGCAAAGAGUGGACAAGAUUUUUGUUUUGCGUCCAGAAUUUUUGUUUAGUAAUUUUUUUCGUUUGGGGUUAAACAUGUUUCCGCAGUUAGAUAAUAUUGCUGUGGAACGUUUUUUUCAUGAGAGUGUAAUAGUCUAGAGCAUUACUUUCUGUUUGGUGGAAUAGUGAAAUAGAAGUCAGUAUGUUCUUGUUAAAUCCUGUGUUGCUUCGAAGGUGUCAUGAUAGUCAUCCUCAGCCUACGCAAUGUGUUACUGUAACUUAGUUUGAAUUUCAAAAUGACUGAGAGAUGUUUUCUUCAACGCACUGCAGGUCAAAUCCACCAUAGCGAAUCACAUGACUUUGAUAAUCAGUAAAUUCCAGCGAAAAAUAUCUUUAUAAGUCAAGAAUUGUCGCAUAAAUAUUAAAUCGUAGUACACGGGAAAUGGCAAAGUUCACGAAAUCUAGUCUGAUUAAUCAUUUUACAUUAAAAAAAAGUCUGAGCAAAGGGGGAGCGUACGCCCUCUACGCCCCCCUCUGGAUCCGCCACUGCACUCUCAUGAAAAAAAGGUUCCUCAGCAAUUAUAUUUACCUACGAAAACAUGUUUAACUCGUAAGCCCCAUGAUGGCAUCCUAUUUAAAAAAUAACAGCUGAAUAAUGAUCCCUAUCAGUAUAGUCUCUAGAUAGAAAUGAUAGAUUUAAAUUCUAAGGUCACGAACCAUUUUGAUUGAGGAGGGCAGUCUAAAUAUUUGAGAGAUUAAAAAAUAGACUCUAAUUUUUGCAUUAAAUCAAAAAUUCUGGGUAUCUGGAUUGAAACAAUAAUCUGUCCAUUUUUUUGCUAUUAGAAACGAAUUCCAAAGAACUAUUAAGCAUUAAAUGACAUGAUAGAUAAACACAGGCGUAUUUUUUUUCCGGGUUUGCAUGUCUACGGAAUGUCUGGAUCGCCAACUGAUAUACUGAAUACUUUUUUCCAAGACCAGACUACAACGCUGCUGAAGUAGCCUUAAUGUCUAAUUUUUCGACCUCAUUCAUAUAUUUGUUGUCCGAUAUUUUUCAGACUCAUUCGUAGCUUAGGUUAUUUGGAAUCAUCACAAUCCCUUAAUUUUGUUGGGUGAAACAUAUAAAAACUUUGGAUAAAUAUUGCUUGUUUGUUUUUUUUUCUUGUUUUAGCUCGUGUCCGUCGUAUUGUAAAUUUUAUCGAAUAGCCCGACUUAUACAUCUAUCUUGUUUACAACAAGAAAUCUGUGAGGUUAUGAUAACUUAACUUACAGCAAACCAGCGAGAAUUUUCCAUGUCUUUUUUUACUGAAAAGUCCCACAUCAAAUUUAUCAGUAAAUAGCUUGAAAUCCGUACUAUCAUUUUAUGAUAGAUAAUUAAUAGGGAGAAUCACGUGACAGCAUCGAAAAUGUCCAACCCUUAAACCUUUCAGGAACUACAAAAUAUGCAUGCACCACACCAGGAAUCCUUUUAAAAGUGCAUAUUACACUUAUUUCAUGUUUUUUAGCCAAAAAAAAGUCCCCAAAAUUUUUUAAAAUCGCCCCCCUUCCAAAUCAAGCCAGACAUAAAUAGGGUCUGAAUCUGCUUUGACUCAUAGAGGUCUAAAUUUGAAGUUUUAGGAUUUUCUCUUAAUGCAAGACAAAAUACGACUUUAAUAAGUCAAUAUUGUUAAGCAAGAAAUAUGAUCCAGAAUCAAAGAAGUUGCAAAAUUCGACUCCUACAAGUGAUAAGUUAUAAAAUUGGUAAACUAAGACAGCAUAUUUAUAAAAAGUCACCAUCUAAAUCAAAUAAUACAACAUUGAAAAACAAUCUUGUCUUCUAGAGAAAAAUAUAAUGAGAGGUCUAAAAAACGAGAUAAUGUUAAAUAACUUACAAUGCACCACCUGGAACCACACUUAAUGAGGUAAAACAUCUGUGUUUAGUAAGGAUGUUCAAUUAGAUAAUUAAAUAUAGAUAGCUCAAGUCCUUGUGAACUCUCAGACAGGUUUUUGCUGUCAUAGGUGGUGUACUUUGGCCACCAAGUCAAAUUAAGUUUUUUCAUCAACAUAAAUAGACCUAAGCAAGUCUGUCAUUUUGUGACUUAGAUAAGUCUAAAAUUGAAAACAC